GUUGAACGCUGGCGGCAGGCCUAACACAUGCAAGUCGAGCGGAGCGGCGGACGGGUGAGUAAUGCCUAGGAAUCUGCCUGGUAGGGGUGGAUAACGUCCGGAAACGGGCGCUAAUACCGCAUACUAUCAGAUGAGCCUAGGUCGGAUUAGCUAGUUGGUAAGGUAACGGCCUACCAAGGCGACGAUCCGUAGCUGGUCUGAGAGGAUGAUCAGUCACACUGGAACUGAGACACGGUCCAGACUCCUACGGGAGGCAGCAGUGGGGAAUAUUGCACAAUGGGCGAAAGCCUGAUCCAGCCAUGCCGCGUGUGUGAAGAAGGUCUUCGGAUUGUAAAGCACUGUAAGUUGGGAGGCGUUACCAACAGAAUAAGCCCCGGCUAACUACGUGCCAGCAGCCGCGGUAAUAC
rnacentral:rRNA from 1 species